rnacentral:rRNA from 1 species
UACGUAGGGUGCGAGCGUUGUCCGGAAUUAUUGGGCGUAAAGAGCUCGUAGGCGGCCUGUCGCGUCGGAUGUGAAAGCCCGGGGCUUAACCCCGGGUCUGCAUUCGAUACGGGCAGGCUAGAGUGUGGUAGGGGAGAUCGGAAUUCCUGGUGUAGCGGUGAAAUGCGCAGAUAUCAAGAAGAACACCGAUGGCGAAGGCAGUCUGCUGGGCGAUCACUGACACUGAGGUACGAAAGCGUGGGUAGCGAACGGG